rnacentral:rRNA from 1 species
AACGAACGCUGGCGGCAGGCUUAACACAUGCAAGUCGAGCGAAGCACUUUACUUGGAUUUCUUCGGAAUGACGAGUAUUGUGACUGAGCGGCGGACGGGUGAGUAACGCGUGGGUAACCUGCCUCAUACAGGGGGAUAACAGUUAGAAAUGACUGCUAAUACCGCAUAAGACCACAGCACCGCAUGGUGCAGGGGUAAAAACUCCGGUGGUAUGAGAUGGACCCGCGUCUGAUUAGCUGGUUGGUGGGGUAACGGCCUACCAAGGCAACGAUCAGUAGCCGGCCUGAGAGGGCGACCGGCCACAUUGGGACUGAGACACGGCCCAAACUCCUACGGGAGGCAGCAGUGGGGAAUAUUGCACAAUGGGGGAAACCCUGAUGCAGCGACGCCGCGUGAAGGAAGAAGUAUUUCGGUAUGUAAACUUCUAUCAGCAGGGAAGAAAAUGACGGUACCUGACUAAGAAGCCCCGGCUAACUACGUGCCAGCAGCCGCCGUAACAC